ACCUGGAGGUGGGGGAUAACCCUUCGAACGGAGGGCUAAUACCGCAUGACACCGCGGGGACCUCGGUCCUCGCGAUCAAAGCUGGCCUCUGUUUACAAGCUAGCGCCACCGGAUGGGCCCGCGCCCCAUUAGCUAGUUGGUGAGGUAACGGCUCACCAAGGCGACGAUGGGUAGCCGGCCUGAGAGGGCGAUCGGCCACACUGGAACUGCGACACGGUCCAGACUCCUACGGGAGGCAGCAGUGAGGAAUAUUGCGCAAUGGGCGAAAGCCUGACGCAGCGACGCCGCGUGGAGGAUGAAGGUCUUCGGAUUGUAAACUCCUGUCGAGUGGGACGAAAGCCGUGAGGGUGAACAACCCUUGCGGUUGACGGUACCGCUGGAGGAAGCCCCGGCUAACUCCGUGCCAGCAGCCGCGGUAAUACGGAGGGGGCUAGCGUUGUUCGGAAUCAUUGGGCGUAAAGGGCGCGUAGGCGGCCGAUCAAGUCGGAGGUGAAAUCCCUCGGCUCAACUGAGGAAUUGCCUUCGAUACUGUUCGGCUUGAGUCCUGGAGAGGGUAGCGGAAUUCCCGGUGUAGCGGUGAAAUGCGUAGAGACCGGGAAGAACACCAGUGGCGAAGGCGGCUACCUGGACAGGUACUGACGCUGAAGCGCGAAAGCUAGGGGAGCAAACAGGAUUAGAUACCCUGGUAGUCC
rnacentral:rRNA from 1 species